UAACUUCAGGACGGGGACAACAGUUGGAAACGACUGCUAAUACCCGAUGUGCCGCAAGGUGAAAACUAAUUGGCCUGAAGAAGAGCUUGCGUCUGAUUAGCUAGUUGGUGGGGUAAGAGCCUACCAAGGCGACGAUCAGUAGCUGGUCUGAGAGGAUGAGCAGCCACACUGGGACUGAGACACGGCCCAGACUCCUACGGGAGGCAGCAGUGGGGAAUUUUCCGCAAUGGGCGAAAGCCUGACGGAGCAACGCCGCGUGAGGGAGGAAGGUCUUUGGAUUGUAAACCUCUUUUCUCAAGGAAGAAGUUCUGACGGUACUUGAGGAAUCAGCCUCGGCUAACUCCGUGCCAGCAGCCGCGGUAAUACGGGGGAGGCAAGCGUUAUCCGGAAUUAUUGGGCGUAAAGCGUCCGCAGGUGGUCAGCCAAGUCUGCCGUCAAAUCAGGUUGCUUAACGACCUAAAGGCGGUGGAAACUGGCAGACUAGAGAGCAGUAGGGGUAGCAGGAAUUCCCAGUGUAGCGGUGAAAUGCGUAGAGAUUGGGAAGAACAUCGGUGGCGAAAGCGUGCUACUGGGCUGUAUCUGACACUCAGGGACGAAAGCUAGGGGAGCGAAAGGGAUUAGAUACCCCUGUAGUCCUAGCCGUAAACGAUGGAUACUAGGCGUGGCUUGUAUCGACCCGAGCCGUGCCGAAGCUAACGCGUUAAGUAUCC
rnacentral:rRNA from 1 species